rnacentral:lncRNA from 1 species
UACGAUAAAGAAAUAUUCGAUAAAAGCAACCACAUAUUACAUUGGUAAUGAAGACCGUAAAUGCAUAAAUUUAACAAGAAGACUAAAGAUAAGAUAAAUUAACUACUUCAACUUCAUUCUAUUCAGGUUCAACCAACCAAUUCGCGUUUCAUCGAAGGUGCUCGGACGGAUCAAGCUUGAACAUAUAGCUUGAACGAAUCUAACCAACAUAGCGUCUAGCUCAAUUGGUCCCUUUUAUACUGAGACAAAAUAGAGACCAUUGUUCUCACAUCGUUGUCGUUUUGAAUUUUCAUGUUAGUGAACAAGACGGUUCCGUAUGAGCAGACUGAUAGAUGGCAAUACUCGACAUCGGUCACCCUUCUCGCAUCGCCGAAGUGGAGACGGCCGUUGAUUUGGCUCAGCUAGUGCUUCAGAUCAGUCAGUGUAACAUCAAUGUGGAUCCUGAAAAGAUUCGAUUUUCUGUGGUUGUAGUAGCCUGCAGCUAGGCAGGCGUUCUUUUGCAGUUCGAAAAUCUCCA